CCUACGGUAGGCAACAGUGGGGAAUAUUGGACAAUGGGCGCAAGCSUGAUCCAGCCAUGCCGCGUGAGUUAUGAAGGUCUUAGGAUUGUAAAGCUCUUUUGCCAGGGAMGAUAAUGACGGUACCUGCAGAAUAAGCCCCGGCUAACUUCGUG
rnacentral:rRNA from 1 species